UCGGGAAUUUUGGGCAAUGGGCGAAAGCCUGACCCAGCAACGCCGCGUGAAGGAUGAAGUAUUUCGGUAUGUAAACUUCGAAAGAAUAGGAAGAAUAAAUGACGGUACUAUUUAUAAGGUCCGGCUAACUACGUGCCAGCAGCCGCGGUAAUACGUAGGGACCAAGCGUUGUUCGGAUUUACUGGGCGUAAAGGGCGCGUAGGCGGCAAUUCAAGUCAUCUGUGAAAUCUCCCGGCUUAACUGGGAGAGGUCAAGGGAAACUGCCAGACUAGAGUGUGGUAGGGGAUACUGGAAUUCCUGGUGUAGCGGUGAAAUGCGUAGAUAUCAGGAGGAAUACCUAUGGCGAAAGCAGGUAUCUGGGCCAUCACUGACGCUGAGCUGCGAAAGCUAGGGGAGCAAACAGGAUUAGAUACCCCCGUAGUCCCUGAGCGGGCUGGCAAGGCGCAU
rnacentral:rRNA from 1 species